rnacentral:lncRNA from 1 species
GGGGUAUGGAUGACUGAAAAGGAACAAGAGGGAACUUUAUGAGAAUCAGUUCAAUAGCAACAAAUGGUCUACUUACUCCAGCUCCCAGCUUCCUUUGGCAUUCCCAGCAUUGCCCUGAGAAGGUCCUCCUCCAAGAAAAGAGCACCAGCUGCCUAAGUUUAAGCAAUGGCCAUAACCCCCUCCUCUGUACCCUAAGUUUUAUUAAGUCCACCUCUUCCCUCCAGCUCCAACAGACCCAGGAGGUCAGCUGCUUCCUGCAGACACUAAUGAAUGUUCUUGCAGUCGAUCCAACUGAUCAAGAUGGCUGCAACCGCAUUGUGUGAAGAAUAAAUACCCGCUGCACAAAUGUCUGAUGUCUCUGCCUGUAUG